AUUGAACGCUGGCGGCAUGCCUUACACAUGCAAGUCGAACGGCAGCGCGGACUUCGGUCUGGCGGCGAGUGGCGAACGGGUGAGUAAUACAUCGGAACGUACCCUGUUGUGGGGGAUAACUAGUCGAAAGAUUAGCUAAUACCGCAUACGACCUGAGGGUGAAAGUGGGGGACCGCAAGGCCUCACGCAGCAGGAGCGGCCGAUGUCUGAUUAGCUAGUUGGUGGGGUAAAGGCCCACCAAGGCGACGAUCAGUAGCUGGUCUGAGAGGACGAUCAGCCACACUGGGACUGAGACACGGCCCAGACUCCUACGGGGGGCAGCAGUGGGGAAUUUUGGACAAUGGGGGCAACCCUGAUCCAGCAAUGCCGCGUGUGUGAAGAAGGCCUUCGGGUUGUAAAGCACUUUUGUCCGAAAAGAAAUCGCGCUGGUUAAUACCUGGCGUGGAUGACGGUACCGGAAGAAUAAGCACCGGCUAACUACGUG
rnacentral:rRNA from 1 species